GUACGAGUUGAGACUCGUAGCAGAUAGCUCAGUAACACGUGGCCAAACUACCCUAUCGAGCACGAUACUCUCGGGAAACUGAGGCUAAUAGUGCAUACGACUCGGUGUCUGGAGUGACGCGAGUCAGAAACGCUCAGGCGCGAUAGGAUGUGGCUGCGGCCGAUUAGGUAGACGGUGGGGUAACGGCCCACCGUGCCAAUAAUCGGUACGGGUUGUGAGAGCAAGAGCCCGGAGACGGUAUCUGAGACAAGAUACCGGGCCCUACGGGGCGCAGCAGGCGCGAAACCUUUACACUGCACGCGAGUGCGAUAAGGGGACUCCAAGUGCGAGGGCAUAUAGUCCUCGCUUUUUCCGACCGUAGGAUGGUCGGCGAAUAAGUGCUGGGCAAGACCGGUGCCAGCCGCCGCGGUAAUACCGGCAGCACGAGUGAUGACCGCUAUUAUUGGGCCUAAAGCGUCCGUAGCUGGCCACGCAAGUCCAUCGGGAAAUCUCUCCGCUCAACGGAGAGGCGUCCGGUGGAAACUGUGUGGCUUGGGACCGGAAGAUCCAGAGGGUACGUCUGGGGGUAGGAGUGAAAUCCCGUAAUCCGAGACGGACCACCGGUGGCGAAAGCGCUCUGGAAAGACGGAUCCGACGGUGAGGGACGAAAGCUCGGGUCACGAACCGGAUUAGAUACCCGGGUAGUCCGAGCUGUAAACGAUGUCUGCUAGGUGUGACACAGGCUACGAGCCUGUGUUGUGCCGUANGGAAGCCGUGAAGCAGACCGCCUGGGAAGUACGUCUGCAAGGAUGAAACUUAAAGGAAUUGGCGGGGGAGCACUACAACCGGAGGAGCCUGCGGUUUAAUUGGACUCAACGCCGGACAUCUCACCAGCAUCGACAGUGUGCAGUGAAAGUCAGUGUGAUGAGCUUACUGGAGCCACUGAGAGGAGGUGCAUGGCCGCCGUCAGCUCGUACCGUGAGGCGUCCUGUUAAGUCAGGCAACGAGCGAGACCCGCACCCUUAAUUGCCAGCACACCCUUGAAGGUGGUUGGGUACAUUAAGAGGACUGCCAGUGCCAAACUGGAGGAAGGAACGGGCAACGGUAGGUCAGUAUGCCCCGAANGUGCUGGGCUACACGCGGGCUACAAUGGUCGAGACAGUGGGAUG
rnacentral:rRNA from 1 species